rnacentral:snRNA from 1 species
GGAUGUAAGGGCAAUCUGGCUGUAACAUCUGUCACCCCAUUGGUCAUCAGGAUUGACUCCACUGAUCUGGGUGGCUACGGGAUGUCCCUCCCCUCCCUAACCACUCCAUGUGCACCUUUCUGGAACUGCAUGUUUGGUCCAAAAGGAUGACCUUCCCUGAUAGGGGAGGACUUUUUGAUCAAGGGUAUAGGAGUAGCUGUGCUCCCCAACUAGAACAUUCAAACAUGCUCUUAAGGUCCAUUUGUAGGAGAAUGUGCAGUAGUCAAACUUCUAAGGCUCCAGACACAUCCAAAUUAGACACCACAUGUUGCAAUCAUUAUUU